UACGUAGGGGGGCAAGCGUUGUCCGGAAUCAUUGGGCGUAAAGAGCGUGUAGGCGGCCAGAAAAGUCCGCUGUGAAAACUCGAGGCUCAACUUCGAGCUGUCGGUGGAAACUUUCUGGCUAGAGUCCGGAAGAGGAGAAUGGAAUUCCUGGUGUAGCGGUGAAAUGCGCAGAUAUCAGGAAGAACACCCGUGGCGAAGGCGGCUCUCUGGGACGGUACUGACGCUGAGACGCGAAAGCGUGGGGAGCGAACAGG
rnacentral:rRNA from 1 species